UUCAACAGGUGGUUCAACCUCUUGUCAGCUUCAGCCUGCCAGAUUGCUUCUCAGUUCCUGAAGUCCAUGGUCCUCCUUCAUUGGAUGCGUUAGAAGAAAAGGUACCAAGAGUAACUGCUGAAGUCUCCAGUGCUACAGCAACGAAAGAACAAAAUUGGGUGCCUGGAGGAAAAAUAAUUUGGUUCAACUGAGCUCUGUCUGAAAAGCAGGUUACCGUGGCUUAAUGAAUUAUCCUGAGUUUGCAGAACAACGCGUUCUCUUACCAGAAAGUUGCGAAUUGAGGAGGAACGUCACUGAUAAAAUGGAGGUCAACAACUGAACAGCAUCUUGUGGGAA